rnacentral:lncRNA from 1 species
CUACAUUAGAUUGACCCAUAGGUGAGGAGCGCCACUUGGGCCGAUGCUGGCAUGAUUGAUGCUCGACUCAUCCAUAGGCAAGGAGCACCACUUGGGCCAAGGUCAUCAUGACUGUCGCUCGACUUGCCCAUAGGCAAGAAGCACCUUUGGAGCUGAUGCUGAUGCGGUCUAUGCUCAACUCGUCCAUAGGCAAGGAGCACCACUUAAGCCGAUAUGGUGUGGCCUAUGCUCGACUCACCCA